UAAUUGUUGAAGAAUAAGAAAAGAAACUAAAAGAAUCGUCCAAGAAUUAUUUUUCACGGUUGCAAAAUUUAAAGAUAGUUAUGGAGAAAUGCAUUGAAGCUCCUUUGUUCCUUGCUAGGAGAAUUUUUAAUCACUCAAAAGACCCAUGUAUAAAAACUUGGACUGAAUAUGAAAGUAAUCUCUGAACCUCUAAAACUAUUUUUGUAGUGAAUGAUUGGUGUGAUGUAUUUGAAUCAAAGACCAAGAACCAUUCUUCUCUAUUCUUGCCAUGCUUCUUUCAAUUACUGAAGCCAUAACAUUUAUCACUCUAAUGGCCCCUACUGAAUUCAUUAUCUCUCUUUUGAAUAUUGUUGUUGUAGUUGAUUCUUUAAUGGUCUCUGCUAAAUUUCAUAUCUUUAAAGAUGAGUGCUUGUUGCCUUGCAUCAUGAACGGAGACAAAGAAGAUGGAAGACAUAAGCGAAAGCCAAAAAUUAAUUAUGUUUUGAUAACAUGUUAAAAUGGUAUGAGACAUUCACAAAUCUUUUUGAUGAAGAAGAAAGAUGAGAUAUUCAUGAUGAG
rnacentral:lncRNA from 1 species